rnacentral:rRNA from 1 species
CAGCAGCCGCGGGAAAACGGAGGGUGCAAGCGUUAAUCGGAAUUACUGGGCGUAAAGCGUGCGUAGGCGGGUCUUUAAGUCAGGGGUGAAAUCCUGGAGCUCAACUCCAGAACUGCCUUUGAUACUGAGGAUCUUGAGUAUGGGAGAGGUGAGUGGAACUGCGAGUGUAGAGGUGAAAUUCGUAGAUAUUCGCAAGAACACCAGUGGCGAAGGCGGCUCACUGGCCCAUUACUGACGCUGAGAUGCGAAAGCGUGGGGAGCAAACAGGAUUAGAUACCCCGGUAGUCCCUGUCUCUUAUAC